GCUGUGGGGCUCCGCUUCCUGCCACUGGCGACUCUGGGGGGAACCGUCCCCUACCCCCCCUCCUGAGCGAGAUGGCUGGAGCCAGGGCAAGGGAAGCAGAGUGGGCUGGGGCUGCAUUGCUUCACUUCCCGCCACCGGCAAGUGUGGGGGGCGAUCCCUUCCCCAACCUCCCCACACUUACCAGCGGCAGGAAGCGGAGCGCCGCGGCUGGGAGCUAGCAGAGUAGAGCGAGCUGGGGCUGGGCUGCUCUGCUUCCUGCCACUGCUGGUAUAUUUUUGGCCAAAAUUAUGAGUGGGAACCAGAAGCAAAUAAAAGCCUGUUUCAUUUCAGGUAACAAUGCUGUAUGGUGGUGGGAGGAAGACGAGAUAAUGUUUAAGUGAUUUAGGAAUCCAGGUGGAUGAAGGAGCAUCUGUGUAACUUGAGGUGGUCCUUCCAGCUCUUCCUAUCAUCACAGGUCUGUCAGUGCCAUAUCCACUCUUUCAUUACUGUGCCUGCAGAGGAAUGUGGAAGAGAACUCAAAAGUCCAACCUGGAGCGUCAGUAUUUUAUGUUUCCAAGGCAACAUCCGCUUUAACAGCCUUGAUAAUGACAUUAUUUGGUUGAAAGGAGCAUGUAUGAUCUUUUGAUUACCACUGGAAGUAUGAAUUAGGUUACUCUCUCCAUACCCUUGAAAAAUAAAUGCACUGGGGAAAAAAAAUUCACAAGAGGGUAAAUGGAAAAAUCAGUUUUUACGUUUAAUGGAGUCUUCAGUUCAACAUUUCUUCUCUUUAUAUAUUUAGAUAACAUGCAUUCCUCAGUGAUAUCUUAGUUUCACAGAGCAAAGAAAUUAAUUACUUACUAAUGUGCAAUUCAGAAAUUAAUUUAUGUUAUCAAUAUCAUUUUAAAUAUGUCAUUAUUAAUCAAUGUAAAUGAAACAGCCUAUAAACUGGAUGCAGUAUAACCUGAUUUGUGCUGAGGCUGCAGGUUAUCAGCUCCAAGGAACACAAUGACAGUGCAGUCACUAAGGAAAGGAGGGGCAAUCCAGUGUCAAACACAGAAAAAAACAAUAUUCCACACUCCUUGCAGACUACGGAAAAUCCCAAUCAUUAUAAUGGUAGAGUGGAUGGUGAAGUGGCAAGGUUGGGAUCUUGCAGCACAACAUUUUCCUAACACACUCCACCCACACCUCCCACCCCCAAACCCCACCCCAAGCUAAAAGUUGGACUGAAAUGUUUUUCUUCCUAGUGGACCAUACAGAGAAAAGUUCCCCCUGUCCCAUCAACACACUAGCACAAUGGAAUUCUGGUCAAUGACUGGGGGUUCUAGGUUCUACUGCAAUACAAAUAAUAUGGACAAGAACCAUCAGUAUGGACCAGACAAUUAUUUUCAUAAACAUCUCACAUCCUGAUCUGAACAUGGAUUCAAAACUCCAGAAUGUUGUUUUUUCUGUAUUCCCCUCUGUCAGAGGGGCAGAGGACAGUGCCCAUGUGUAAAUAAACCUGUACUAUCUGACUGUGUCUCAGUCUUUGUGAACAUCUAUUUCUGUAUAUGUUUGUUAACUUUAAUGCCUGGAUACAGUGUUUGGGCUUGAUUUACCCCAUUGUUACAAACUGUAUCCCAGCAACAGCAGUGGGUGGAGAAAGCCCUGCAAAGGUUUCUGGAGUUUUAAUACAUAUAGUCACAUGCAACAAAUAUGUACACAUACCUUGGUAUUUAAUAGGGUUGCAUAAAACAUUGCAGAAAAAAAGUUUGCAAACAUAUUUGCAAUUUAAGGCUCCGCUUUAACAAAGUGUUUAAACAUAUGCCUAACUUUAACCAUUUGAGCUGUCCCAAGGGGCCUCAGGUUCAGAACCUUACUGAAGAUUUACCUUGACUUCCUUGAAAGGGUUUCAUGGAGUAUAAUCUCGGGCAGAAUUUGGUCAGUUCAGUAUAUGGUAUUAGUCACAGCCCAGCAUGCUCAGAUUCUUUAUGCUGUCACAAUUCUCUUUCACAUAAUUAAAACAAAUUGAUAUGGUUCCUCCCCCUUCCCAUUCUGCUGUGUGGUCUGGUACACAUAUGUGCGUGAGAGAGUGUUUGGAUGGAUAAGAAUACACCUAAAAGUA